UAGAAACGCCAGUCUGUAGUUUAUUCUUUCUGGACCCAACUGGGAACAGUCCCAGAAGUUUGAAAUUUGACAACAAAUACGAGAAGAAAGGCCGACCCCACCCGCCCAUAGCAUCAACCAACCCAUUCUCUCAGUGUUGAUCUGGAAUUUGGAUUUAAAAUGAAAAUCCUGCCCGAUUCUCACUCUGACGGCGUUUGAGGACCUCCUAGAGGCCACGGAACUGACUGGAGAUACAUGUCGCCCUCCUUCCCUGCCCCCUCAUCCCUCCACGGACCCACGUUUGCCCUGGUUGAAGGACAGGGACGGACACCGGACAUGUCUAAGCCUCAGUCCCCCACGCCCCGUGCCGUGGCGUGGACAGGUGUCCCAGCAUCUCCCACGCAGAUCAAGGGGCUUUCCCGCAAGGGAAAUCUUUCCCCUCCGCGCUGAAAGAGUAAGCAGAAAAUAAAAAGUCGCCGCAACUAUUGAAUGAACCCGAACGUGGCGUCCCUGUGCUCCGAGUCCCUUGCAGGGAGACUGGAACUGCGUUUCUUCCCAAAGCCGCGGCUCUCAAAGAGCAUUUCCAGGCCGGGAUCCACCAGACCGGCGCCCUCGGCCCCCAGUGGGCCGGCACCCAGGGGCCCCCGUGUCUGCCGCGAUACCUGAACGCUGUCCCCGCCAAAGGCCCCCGCCCGCAACAGCAGCACGGAAAAUUGUGAGUCAGCUCCGAAUCUGACGGACGCUCCGUGUGCUACCCAAACCACACCGGGCCCGGGCCGCGGCAGCCCGUGCUGUGCGUGUCACAUCCACACCCCGCCUGUCUGUGUGAAGUCCCGUCCGCAACUUCACAAGGCAGGAAUGUGACAGAAAAAUAAAUCGGUGCCUAAUGGCUUCAGA